GGGAAAUUGGCAGAGUGGUCAAUUGCACCGGUCUUGAAAACCGGCUGACGUUAAUAGCGUCUCCAGGGUUCAAAUCCCUGAUUUCCCG
rnacentral:tRNA from 1 species